AAGCAACGCGAAGAACCUUACCAGGCCUUGACAUGCAGAGAACUUUCCAGAGAUGGAUUGGUGCCUUCGGGAACGUCUGACACAGGUGCUGCAUGGCUGUCGUCAGCUCGUGUCGUGAGAUGUUGGGUUAAGUCCCGUAACGAGCGCAACCCUUGUCCUUAGUUACCAGCACGUUAUGGUGGGCACUCUAAGGAGACUGCCGGUGACAAACCGGAGGAAGGUGGGGAGUGACGUCAAGUCAUCAUGGCCCUUACGGCCUGGGCUACACACGUGCUACAAUGGUCGGUACAAAGGGUUGCCAAGCCGCGAGGUGGAGCUAAUCCCAUAAAACCGAUCGUAGUCCGGAUCGCAGUCUGCAACUCGACUGCGUGAAGUCGGAAUCGCUAGUAAUCGUGAAUCAGAAUGUCACGGUGAAUACGUUCCCGGGCCUU
rnacentral:rRNA from 1 species